AAGUCGUAACAAGGUCUCCGUUGGUGAACCAGCGGAGGGAUCAUUACCGAGUUAUCAACUCCCAAACCCCUGUGAACAUACCUGAACGUUGCUUCGGCGGGACCGCCCCGGCGCCCUUCAAACGGCCCGGAACCAGGCGCCCGCCGGAGGACCACAAACUCUUGUUUUAAUUAGUGGAUUAUUCUGAGUCUCAAAAACAUAAAUGAAUCAAAACUUUCAACAACGGAUCUCUUGGCUCUG
rnacentral:misc_RNA from 1 species